rnacentral:rRNA from 1 species
UACAGAGACUGCAAGCGUUAUUCGGAUUCACUGGGCGUAAAGGGUGCGCAGGCGGUUUUGUGUGUCAGGUGUGAAAGCCCGGGGCUUAACCCCGGAAUUGCGCCUGAAACUACAUGACUAGAGCAUUGGAGAGGGUAGCGGAAUUCACGGUGUAGCAGUGAAAUGCGUAGAUAUCGUGAGGAACACCAGAGGCGAAGGCGGAUACCUGGACAAUUGCUGACGCUCAGGCACGAAAGCGUGGGGAGCAAAAGGG